rnacentral:rRNA from 1 species
UAGAGUUUUGGNNCUGGCUCAGGAUGAACGCUGGCGGCGUGCCUAAUACAUGCAAGUCGAGCGAAUGGAUUAAGAGCUUGCUCUUAUGAAGUUAGCGGCGGACGGGUGAGUAACACGUGGGUAACCUGCCCAUAAGACUGGGAUAACUCCGGGAAACCGGGGCUAAUACCGGAUAACAUUUUGAACCGCAUGGUUCGAAAUUGAAAGGCGGCUUCGGCUGUCACUUAUGGAUGGACCCGCGUCGCAUUAGCUAGUUGGUGAGGUAACGGCUCACCAAGGCAACGAUGCGUAGCCGACCUGAGAGGGUGAUCGGCCACACUGGGACUGAGACACGGCCCAGACUCCUACGGGAGGCAGCAGUAGGGAAUCUUCCGCAAUGGACGAAAGUCUGACGGAGCAACGCCGCGUGAGUGAUGAAGGCUUUCGGGUCGUAAAACUCUGUUGUUAGGGAAGAACAAGUGCUAGUNGAAUAAGCNGGCACCUGAC